rnacentral:rRNA from 1 species
CACGUAGGGCGCGAGCGUUGUCCGGAAUUAUUGGGCGUAAAGAGCUCGUAGGCGGCCUGUUGCGUCCGCUGUGAAAGCCCGGGGCUUAACCCCGGGUCGCAGUGGAUACGGGCAGGCUAGAGGUAGGUAGGGGAGAAUGGAAUUCCCGGUGUAGCGGUGAAAUGCGCAGAUAUCGGGAAGAACACCCGUGGCGAAGGCGGCUCUCUGGAACGCAACUGACGCUGAGACGCGAAAGCGUGGGGAGCAAACAGGG